rnacentral:rRNA from 1 species
AUUGAACGCUGGCGGCAUGCUUUACACAUGCAAGUCGAACGGUAACAGGCCUUCAGGUGGUGACGAGUGGCGGACGGGUGCGUAAUGCAUCGGAACGUGCCCAGAGGUGGUGGAUAACGCAGCGAAAGCUGGGCUAAUACCGCAUAUUAUCUGAUAAUGAAAGCGGGGGACAAGACAGCAAUGUUUGACCUCGCGCCUUUGAAGCGGCCGAUGUCGGAUUAGGUAGUUGGUGGGGUAAAGGCCUACCAAGCCGACGAUCUGUAGCUGGUCUGAGAGGACGACCAGCCACACUGGGACUGAGACACGGCCCAGACUCCUACGGGAGGCAGCAGUGGGGAAUUUUGGACAAUGGGCGCAAGCCUGAUCCAGCAAUGCCGCGUGCGGGAAGAAGGCCUUCGGGUUGUAAACCGCUUUUGUACGGAACGAAAAGGCUCUGGCUAAUACCUGGGGCUGAUGACGGUACCGUAAGAAUAAGCACCGGCUAACUACGUG